GCAAGUCGUACGGCGGCACGGGUGCUUGCACCUGGUGGCGAGUGGCGAACGGGUGAGUAAUACAUCGGAACGUUCCUUAUCGUGGGGGAUAACGCAGCAAAAGCUGUGCUAAUACCGCAUAUGCCCUGAGGGGAAAAGCGGGGGAUCGAAAGACCUCGCGCGAUUAGAGCGGCCGGUGCCUGAUUAGCUUGUUGGUGAGGUAAAGGCCCACCAAGGCGACGAUCAGUAGCUGGUCUGAGAGGACGAUC
rnacentral:rRNA from 1 species